GCGGGAUGACGUGCGUCGUCACGUCUGCCGCAAUGCGCACCGAAAAAGCUGUGCGAAUCUAAGGAUUUAAAAAGCCGGAAGCACAGGAGAACUCACAGCUCUUGAGAAAGUCCUCGGGACGAAACGCAUUGAGCGGAGAGGCUUGACAUGUGCACAGUCGCCUUGUCGGCAUCUGCUUAAAACCCCACCACAUACCCAUUUCCAAUAAAGCAUU